rnacentral:rRNA from 1 species
UACGUAGGGGGCGAGCGUUGUCCGGAUUUAUUGGGCGUAAAGAGCUCGUAGGCGGUUCGGUAAGUCGGAUGUGAAAUCUCCACGCUCAACGUGGAGGGGCCAUUCGAUACUGCCGUGACUCGAGUCCGGUAGGGGAGUGUGGAAUUCCCGGUGUAGCGGUGAAAUGCGCAGAUAUCGGGAGGAACACCGGUGGCGAAGGCGGUUCUCUGGGCCUUACCUGACGCUGAGGAGCGAAAGCGUGGGGAGCGAACAGG